AACGAACGCUGGCGGCAGGCCUAACACAUGCAAGUCGAGCGGGCGUAGCAAUACGUCAGCGGCGGACGGGUGAGUAACACGUGGGAAUAUGCCUUUCGGUUUGGAACAACUCGGGGAAACCCGUGCUAAUUCCGGAUACGCCCUUAGGGGGAAAGAUUUAUCGCCGAAAGAUUAGCCCGCGUCCGAUUAGCUAGUUGGUGAGGUAAACGGCCCACCAAGGCGACGAUCGGUAGCUGGUUUGAGAGAACGACCAGCCACACUGGGACUGAGACGCGGCCCAGACUCCUACGGGAGGCAGCAGCGAGGAAUUUUGCGCAAUGGGCGAAAGCCUGACGCAGCAACGCCGCGUGGGUGAUGAAGGCCUU
rnacentral:rRNA from 1 species